rnacentral:sRNA from 1 species
GCCGGGUGCAGUGGUGCACACCUGUAAUCCCAGCAGCUCAGGAGGCUGAGGCAGGAGGAACGUAAGUUCAAAGCUAGCCUCAGCAACUUAGCAAGGCCCUCAGCAACUCAGUGAGACCCUGUCUCUA